AAUGCUAAUCCAGAAAGUUUUUCUGAUAUUGACGAUGUGGGUACCUUUCUCGUACAUCUGUUGAACAUACUUUUCAGACUAAUUGUUGCUGUAUUUGAACCUGGAAGUGUCGACAUAUGUUAUUAGGGAUCUCUGACGCUCCAUUAAUUUUUAGGUUGAUGGAUAUCUUCACAAUGAGGAAGCGACAUAGUACGAAAGGAUAAUUGGUAAGAAAUGAACAAAUAAUACCUAGAGGAAGAAGCUGCAAAGGAAUCUUUAGCAACUGAAUUGGCAGUUAGAGGUGUUGGUGCUAGAGAGGGACAACAAGAUAGAUGGAGACUUAAUGGAGACAAAAAGAACUCGACACCUGCUAAAACACCAUAAGAAAACACAUAUGGGUCUUGGGUAAAAAUCAAUGUCAAAGCAGUUGGUGGGUUGUACAAUGUAUGUUUUAUUCGUUUUCGUCCACUGAAUUUAUAAAUUCUUGGCCUAUGUGAGGUUAAUUGAUUAUUCACAAUUCAUGCUUAGUAUAUCAGUGUUGCGUGGAAUUGCAAUUGCUGCUUGCAUUGACUUUUUUAUUGCCUGCUUUGUCAUGUUUCCUGCUGCCCAUAUGUGUAUUGUGAGCAGACUAAAGAUGAGGAACUCUACAAUAUGACUCUGACGAUGUUGAUUUCUAAUAGCGAAAAUUCUGAAAAAGCAGCUCAAGAAAUUUCAUUCAGUCUUGUCCCGCUCCUCUCUAUCCUCCAGAUAUAAGCAUGAGUUCUUCAGAUCUGGGAAAGAAGAG